rnacentral:lncRNA from 1 species
AGGUGCCCCUGGGCUAAGUCAAUCAUAACCCCAAAUACUCUGUAUAGGGCCCUAGCUCUUCAUUCAUUCAUUCAUUUAUCUAUCUAGCCACCCAUUUCUCCAUUCCUUGUAACUUCCCUUCUCCACUCUUCUUUCCAAUUCCUAUAGGCAACCAUUCCAGAUGUUUAGUGUAUAUUAUUUUGUUUACUGUGUCUUGCUGUGUCUACAUCUAAUCCGUGGGACUUCAUGGUGGACACCGCCCGUGUCUGGCACCCACUGCCAGCACCUGCCUCUGCGGAUGCCGGCCAUGGUGAACAGUCUUGCAUGUGGCCCCUCAUGGACCUGAGAAGGAUCUGUUGGAUCACAGGAGAUACGGACAUUUAUGGUGAAGAAGUACUGUCCACUGCUCCCCAGACUGCUGCCUAUGCUAGUCUACAGGUGCACGAGGUUUCCCACAGGCCUACGCAGGCACUCACACUUGGCAUGGAAAUGAGAAUAUUUGUACGGUACACCACGGUGAAAGAUAAGGAAAACAGGCCACGGAUUCUGACAACCUUGGGCCCUCCAGCCUCCCUGAGGCGGAAUGUCAGCUCACAUCACAAGGCAUUUCUCCGUGUCACAACCCAGAUGAGGAAUGUCGGAGUGGGAUCCCCUCCCCAUGGCAACUAUCCUCUGAAAAAAAUGACUCAAGUGGCAGGAUUGUGUGGAACGAGGGAGAGCUGCUGGUUCAGUGUCAUGGGGAAUCUCUUUUGUAAUCACUCUUCCACCAGAACAGAUGUUACUUCAGUGCUAACAUGGGAUUUAUGGUUUCUGGUAAACUGA